rnacentral:rRNA from 1 species
AACGAACGCUGGCGGCAUGCCUAACACAUGCAAGUCGAACGAACCCUUCGGGGUUAGUGGCGCACGGGUGCGUAACGCGUGGGAACCUGCCUUUAGGUUCGGAAUAACAGUUAGAAAUGACUGCUAAUACCGGAUGAUGUCUUCGGACCAAAGAUUUAUCGCCUUUAGAUGGGCCCCGCGUUGGAUUAGCUAGUUGGUGGGGUAAAGGCCUACCAAGGCGACGAUCCAUAGCUGGUCUGAGAGGAUGAUCAGCCACACUGGGACUGAGACACGGCCCAGACUCCUACGGGAGGCAGCAGUGGGGAAUAUUGGACAAUGGGCGAAAGCCUGAUCCAGCGAUGCCACGUGAGUGAUGAAGGCC